CAGUCGCCACGGGAAUACAGAGGGUGCGAGCGUUAAUCGGAUUUACUGGGCGUAAAGCGUGCGUAGGCGGCUUCUUAAGUCGGAUGUGAAAUCCCUGAGCUUAACUUAGGAAUUGCAUUCGAUACUGGGAAGCUAGAGUAUGGGAGAGGAUGGUAGAAUUCCAGGUGUAGCGGUGAAAUGCGUAGAGAUCUGGAGGAAUACCGAUGGCGAAGGCAGCCAUCUGGCCUAAUACUGACGCUGAGGUACGAAAGCAUGGGGAGCAAACAGGAUUAGAUACCCGCGUAGUCCCUGUCUCUUAUAA
rnacentral:rRNA from 1 species